ensembl:lncRNA
UCUUACUGAAGAGUCCUAAACUGUAGAAGUUGGUUGGGUAUUCAUAAACAGAAAAAUAUUUUUUUUUCUGGCUCCUUCCCCACAGCUGUGCCUGCUGAAGAGAGUCCAACCUUUCUGAGGAGAAAAGCACCCCAAGCUGGAAGUUGGCAUCUAAGCUCACCUUGCCUAAGUCCCAGGUGAGCUGUACUUACAAGCGUUUCAGGCAGCCUGAAUGUGGCCUUGUCUGCUUUUCUCUGCUGCCCAUGAUCCUGCCUUACACAGCAGAUGCUCUGAGGCACAUUAGCCCCGGGGUUCCCUAGGCAACUAGGAUUGGCGCUGUGGGAUUGGGCACCUCCCAAGCUGUGUACUGAUCUCUUGGGCACCUUUCCUGUCAUCUCACUCCUUUUCCCUUGAAUCUUCUCUUAACUUUUUUGGUAACUGGCCUCCCAUGUAAUUCAGAAAUGAGUGAUAGGACGGCUUCUGUUGUAGCGGAGUACUGAACUACAACUUACUCUCUUCUCUAGAGUCCAUUGACAUUUGAAGAUGUGGCCUUGUAUUUUCCGAGGAAGAAUGGAAAAUAAUGACCCCUGAUGAGAAGACCCUCUACCUUGAUGUAAUGCAGGAACUCUAUGAGGAUGUCGCCUCUGUAGGGUUAAAGCUGAAAAAUGACACUGGAAAUGACCCACCUGUAUCUCUUCCUACAUUAGAGAUACAACCAUCAGGAUGCAAAGUAUUAGGAAAGGCCACAAGGAAAGAUGCUGAGACAACAGUGGGCAGUGAAAAUCACGGUGAUACAUGCAGGGUACGGAAACGACCUCACAGUCCCGAAGCCACAGCUCUCGCCAGCCACUUCGUGCCUGGUGACGAACUGCACUGAAACUCUCAAAACGGGCCGUUUCCAUGAAACUCGAGGAAAUUAUCUGAGUGCAGCCAACCUGUUGUUUCACUUUAGCCAAAGGAGGGAGCAGAAGGAAGAAAUUCUUCAUUAGAAACAUGAAUGAUUGACCCUGACCGAAAAGGCUGCCCCUCCUGCUAGGAUCACACAGGAGCAUCUGCUCUGGAUGGGCCUGCAGCGGUCCUGGCUGUGCUGCUGACUGGUGCACCAGGAGCGGCACUGAGGGGAGCCGGGAGAGGCCCUGGCCCUCACCCCCAUCCCACAUCCACAUCUGCCCCCUCACUGAUUGCUUGCGGUCCUGGUCCUCAGUUCCUGGGACUAAGAACCACAGCAGCCUGAUUGCCCCUGGGACAGAGGGGCUGAGCCUCACACCAUGUGCCCUUCUCAGCCACCCAGGUCCUGGCCGAAGAGUUCUGCCUGCCUCACCCCGAGGCCUGAGGCUGCACCUGGGCUACCACGUGCCCCCCGCAGAUUCCCACAGAUGGAAGGGCACUGAUGGCUUCCUCCCUUGUGCCAAGUUGCCUGGAAACCCCUGGUCCUGGUGGCCCCUCCUCCACCCCAACUGUGUCCCUCCAGGACCACUUCCAGGAGACUGCCAGCCUUUGGACUGCAUCCCUGGAGUUCUGAGAGACUGUGACAUGGGCUGCAGGGGAGGAGAGGAGCAGAGGACCAGGGGCCUCCCUGGGGCUGAUGGGCAGUGGAGGUUCUACGCCAUCACCGACUUGAAUAAGACAGCUUUCCCUUUUCUGUGUGUGAUGAACUCUCCACCAGUCAGCGCAGUCUGGUCAGAGAAAUGUUCUUGUUUUCAGUGUUGUCAAAUCUUGUGUCUAUCUAAGUUAAUAAAAAAAAUUAUUUUAGUUCAAAAAAAAAAAAAACAGAGGCCUCUUGUUUCUGGUGUGGUGCCCCCUUGGAGGAGAGGGUCUGUUGGUGAGCUCACCCGACUCUGGUGGCCAGAAGCUGGGGGAGGGGAGCAUCCUGAGGGCUAUAAUUGGGUGGGGUCAUGGCAGGAAACCAGUGAAUGUUAUACUUCAUAUUAAUAGAACAAAGGGGUAAUACAUAAUCGUUCCAAAAGAUUUAAAACAUGGAUUUGGUGAAAUUCAGUACCCAUUCAUGAUUUUAAAAACUUUUAAGAACAUUGAAAUUGUUAGGAACUCAUUCUUCUGGCAAAUAGUCUAUAAAAAACCUCAGUGCGCAUAAUAUUUAAUGGUGAAAGAAUGUUCCUAAUAUUGGGAACAAUGCAUGGUGUCUACUCUUGCCAUUUCUAUUCAUCAUUGUAGUGGAAGCUUGAGCAAAUGGAAUAAGCCCCCUACCCUGACAAAUCCAUCCGAAUUGGAAAGAAAUAAAGCUUUAUUCACAGAUCA